rnacentral:lncRNA from 1 species
AGGAAAGUCCAGCAUUCAACUCAAUAAAAAAGGAAGGAGGGAGGACACCUACAUUCUCUUUCUUCCAAAAUCUGAUUUUACCAUUGUGUUCUUCAUUAUGAUUAAUGACAUCAUUCUUCUCUGAAAGGCUCAGAUAAGAACAGUGUGGUCAUUUAUUUCCUCUGACUUCUCAACUGCAGCAACAUUUGCCAGUAACUAGGACAUGCAGAGACUGAGUGAAAUCUCAAGAGUUGAACUAAUGUUUCUAAAUGGUUAGAGCAAGCUAAGGUCUCUUUCUGGAACUGCAAUUCCCAACCACUUGAAUCAGAAUCAGAAGAAGCAAUUUAUUUUUUUAAAAAAGAAAAGUUAAAGUCAAUAUUCCAGAAAUUCUGAGACAGGAGUUUUGGUAGUGGGGACGUGAACCACAUGUUCAUUGGUAUCCUCAGGGAAUUGGUCCCAGGAACCCGUGAAGACACCAAAAUCCAUGGAUUGUAUUUUUUCUUAUAUAAAAUGAUACGGUAUUUACAUAUAAUUAAGCACUUCCUCCUGUAUACUUUAAAACACCUCUAGAUUACUUAUAAUACCUAAAUAUCAUGUAAAUACUGUGUAAAUCAGCACAUUGAUUGUGACAAGUAUACUAAUAGAGUUUAAUAAUUGGAGAAGUAGGUUGAGGGGCAAAGGAGAACUCUUUAUUAACUGCCUCAAAAUUUUGGUUUGUAAAUUGGAUAUCCUGAAAUAAAAUGUUCAAAAAUAAAUAGUUGUUAUACUGUAUUUUUUAUGGGAUAAGCCUGUACAGAUAUGAUUUUUUUCCCAACUAUUUUCCAUGCACAGUUGGUUGAAUCUGCCAAUGAAGAACUUGCAGAUAGAUUUGGAGGGUCACUGUACUUCCAUAAAAGAUGGCUGAGUCUUUUUGUAUAUGUGUGCUCCUGGAGGAAAACUACAUGUCGGUUAACAUAAUAGUUGGCGGCAAAGUGGUUGAAGAUGUGGGGAGAAAGAAGAUAACUAAAAGCUGAAAAUCACUGAAAAAGCGGGAGACGGUAAUAUCCUUGAAUUAUGACAUACAAACUUCUACUAGCCAAAGCAAAGACCACAGAAGCAGGAUUACCGGUAGACCAGUUGUUGGCAGAUUGAGGCGCUCUUGGCUGAAGAUGGCCUUUCCAUCUCCUUGAAGAGUGUGGAUGAGAUAUUUUCAUCUGCCUUUAAUGCUGCCAUGCUUCUCUUGCUGAGCCUAAUUUCUGCACAGGCAGAGGAAGUACCUUCCCUGCUUUCACAGUUAUAACUUUUGGUGUCAAUUGUGAGCCUAGCCGCUAAUUCUGCAGCAUAACUCUUGUACAUGAGUGCUUAGGACAGAUUCUUAUCCUUUGUUAUCCAUUGCCAGAUAAACUCUCUUCAUAUAAAUAGGCCUGGACUUGACCACAAAUCAUCAGUCUAUUUUUCACUUUUUUUUCUUGUUAAGUUCCUAUGUUGGGUCCUUCGUUCCUUUCUUCCAUUUGUGCCUGCAGAGGGCUUUAAAAAGGAGACAAAUUCUAGAUACCUUUUCUUUCAGAGGCUCCACAUCAGUUUUGCUUCAAGGCAGGAAAAUGGAAGUCAAUGUUAAGUAUUUCAAACAAGAAGUGGUUUAGUUUAGAUUUCAAAACCAUAAGAAGGCCGAAGAAAGAUAAGGUUAGGGAGGCCAGCCUUCCACUUAUAAAAUCAAGAAGUGCUUGAACCCAGGAAACCAUUGCCCUUGAUUUCACUGUCCACUCAACUAAACCAGGAGGUGCUUUGGAACACAUCAGGAAGCUACUAGGGAAAUCUUGACACUGAAGCCCUGUGGAAUGCUAGCUACAGCAAUAAGAGACAUAAUUGUGUUACUUCUUUCAUGCCUUCCAGAUUUGCACUAUUUCUUCUCUUUGGCAAAACAUAAUUUAGGAUUAUAGUGGCAAGAAUUUUAAAAAAUGUAAUUCCCAGUCUCCCA